UACGGAGGGUGCGAGCGUUGUCCGGAAUCACUGGGCGUAAAGGGCGCGUAGGCGGCCUGAUAAGUAGGGGGUGAAAUCCUGCGGCUUAACCGCAGGGCUGCCUUCUAAACUGUCAGGCUUGAGCACAGUAGAGGCAGGUGGAAUUCCCGGUGUAGCGGUGGAAUGCGUAGAGAUCGGGAGGAACACCAGCGGCGAAGGCGGCAUCCUGGACUGGUACUGACGCUCAUGAGCGAAAGCGUGGGGAGCGGAUCCGG
rnacentral:rRNA from 1 species